rnacentral:lncRNA from 1 species
CUUGAAUCCUGGUGGUGCCUGAGCUCUGCCGCCGGCAGCCCCUCUGCCCGGAGAGCCCAAGACACUCAAGCAUCCCCCAGCAGGAGCGGUGAUCCUAAUCCUGACACCAUCUCUCGCAUGGAAUGCAGGGAAGAACCCCGUGUCUCAAUUCUCCCGGACCCCAGCGAAUGGCUGAAUCAAAGAGGUGCCUGCAAAGAUCACCAGAUCCUGAGUCAAACUGAAGAGGAGACCCCGCAGCGGGAGGGCGCUGGGAAAGCGGAGUCGCGCGGGGCGUCAGCAGAGAGAACUGGAGGGGAUGUCUCGCAGCAGAUCCAGCCUGGGGCAGGGGGAAACCCCGUGGAGCAAGAUCACCUUAC